CAUCGAGUGAUCCUGCGCCGAAAAUGAUUGGCGAUCAAGCGUUAUACCGAAGCUCUGGACUUUGCCGCAAGGCAGAGUGGUAGAAGAGCGUUGCAUGCGCGUCGAAGGGCGAUGGCGACUGACCCUGGAGCACAUGCAAGUGAGUAUGCAGACAUGAGUAACGUUAAGCCGGGUGAAAUCCCCGGCCGCCGUAAACCCGAGGUUUCCAGGGCAACGUGUUUCGUCCCUGGGUUAGCCGGGACCUAAGCCGAGGCCGAGAGGCGUAGGCGAUGGACAUCAGGUUAAUAAUCCUGAGCUCGCAACCCUUAAACUGGGGGGACGCAUGAGAAAAGAUGACUAGGUUAUUGAAUUCCGAGUUGAGUCUACGGACUCAGCGCAUCAUUGGAUCGAGUGCCAAGAAAAGCCCCAGCGUAUGCUAAGCGACCCGUACCGCAAACCGACACAGGUGGGUGGGUAGAAUAUACCAAGGCGUAAGAGUGAAACCUGGUUAAGGAACUCGGCAAAUUAGCCCCGUAACUUCGGAAGAAGGGGUGCCUGCAGCGAUGCAGGCCGCAGAGAAAUGGCCCAACCGACUGUUUAUCAAAAACACAGCACUCUGCAAAGACGCAAGUCGAAGUAUAGGGUGUGACACGUGACCAAUGCCGAAAGAUUAAGGCAAGGGGUUAGCCGCAAGGCGAAGCUCUAAACCCAAGUCCCGGUGAAUGUCGGCCGUAACUAUAACGGUCCUAAGGUAGCGAAAUUCCUUGUCGGGUAAGUUCCGACCUGCACGAAUCGUGAAACGAGUUGGGCACUGUCUCAACCAGGCGCUCAGUGAAAUUGUAGUGGCGGUGAAGAUGCCGCCUACCCGCAGAAGGACGGAAAGACCCUAUAGACCUUAACUGUAAGCUGUCAUUGUUUCUUCGGUUUUAAUGCUCAGAGUAAGUGGGAGACGCUGAAGACGCCCUUUAGGGGGCGUCCGAGUCAUCAAUGAGACACCACCCUUUGAAACUGGAGGAUCUAACCCUGAGCCGUGAAUCCGGCCAGAGGACCGUGUCAGCCGGUCAGUUUUACUGGGGCGGUAUCCUCCCAAAGAGUAACGGAGGAGCGCGAAGGUGGGCUCAGCCCGGUUGGCAACCGGGUGUCGAGUGCAUGGGCAUAAGCCCGCCUAACUGUGAGACCAACAAGUCGAGCAGAUGCGAAAGCAGGCCCAAGUGAUCCGGCGGUAGAAAGUGGAAUUGCCGUCGCUCAACGGAUAAAAGGUACCUUAGGGAUAACAGGCUGAUCACGCCCAAGAGUUCAUAUCGACGGCGUGGUUUGGCACCUCGAUGUCGGCUCGUCGCAUCCUGGGGCUGGAGAAGGUCCCAAGGGUCCGGCUGUUCGCCGGUUAAAGUGGUACGCGAGCUGGGUUCAGAACGUCGCGAGACAGUUCGGUCCUCUAUCCUCUGUGGGCGUUGGAAAAUUGAGGGGUUCAGACCUUAGUACGAGAGGACCGGGUCUGACGCACCACUGGUGCAUCGGUUGUACUGUCAAGUGCAUGGCCGAGUAGCUAAGUGCGGACGGGAUAAGCGCUGAAAGCAUCUAAGCGCCAAGCCCUUCCCAAGAUGAGUUUUCCCUACAGGUUCGUGGAAGACCACCACGUUGAUAGGUCGCAGGUGUAAGUGCAGCAAUGUAUUGAGCCGAGCGAUACUAAUUACCAAUUGACUUCAUCAU
rnacentral:rRNA from 1 species